rnacentral:rRNA from 1 species
UAGCGAAGGGGGCUAGCGUUGUUCGGAAUUACUGGGCGUAAAGCGCAUGCAGGUGGAUCGCUAAGUCAGGGGUGAAAGCCCGAGGCUCAACCUCGGAACUGCCUUUGAUACUGGCGAUCUUGAGUCCGGGAGAGGUGAGUGGAACUGCGAGUGUAGAGGUGAAAUUCGUAGAUAUCGGAGAACACCAGUGGCGAAGGCGGCGA